CGAGCGAUAGGAAAAGCAACAAGGCCUGAACGCAAGGAGUUAUUUGUCCAGAUAGUGUCAUCAUCGCCGCAUCGACGAAACAGUUCCGAUUCUACCGCUGUACUUAGGAGGAGGUACUUAUGGUAGCUGAAUUUUCCGUUGUGGAUCCUGUGGGUAUAGAAGAAGUUUAUUGCUAGAAUCUUCACUGGGGCUGAUCGACGAACUGUGUCACUUGGUCACGUCACCAAACCAAUACAUGUGUAUGCUUUUUGAAACUCAAGUAAAUCGUAUAAUUAU